AUGCUACAGAGGAGACCAGGCCUUGCACCACUCCAGAGGAGACCAUGCCUGGAUGGUCUGGCACCGCUGAAGGGUUUCCAAGAACCUGUUUUGAGGAUCUUCAAAGCCAUCGAGGGACAAAGCAUCCCAGACAGAGCUCAGCUGAGAUCUGUCAUCCUCGACCACUUAGGCUCCAAGCUUGUCAGGAAGCAACUGGCGGAGUCAAUCAGGGAUGAGGUCAAACUGACGAUUCCAGGGUCUACACCAGCGGCACAAAGGGCUCUGAGUGCCAGAAUCGCUUACGAUGUGUUGAAGUGCGUCUCUCGAGCGGCCAAUCCUAGCAAUGAACCUGCCUGCAGACUCCGUGGGGGAAACACAAUCAAAUCCAAUGCUCAAGCAGAUGAUCCAGAACCAGAGGAGUGGAUGGCCAACGGAGAAGACAUAAAUACCUAUGUGACAACGUUGAUCACUGACGUUCUGGAGGAAGUCCAGGAGCAGGUUAUCGUAAUGAUCCGAGAAGACUACCCUACCCAAUUCAGAGUUGUCUCUGCAAAGGCCAGCCAAACAGCCAUUGAUGUGGUAAGCAAUGUUUUGGAAGAAAUUAGACACUUAUUAAAUGAGGAAAACAUUGAAAAGCUUGCACUAGACUGUGAUGCUGAAGAAGGCACCUCAGGCAUAUCAAACAGUCAGCCACCUGCAUUAAAAAAGGCAGACCCUGAGAACCGCCCAGAUUCCUUUUCAAAACUAGAAGGUGUCGCCUGUGACCUUAUUAGCACUGCAUAUGACAGCCUCCUAUUUGAGCUGGCUUUUCCUGAGCUUCAGGUUGAAAGAGAUGAACAACCAAGCAACUCAAGGGCUAUCAGAAGUGACAUACAAAUCUCUUUUGAAGAAAAAGCUCCUUCCCUGACUCUGGAAAUACUUCCCUCAGAGCCAGUGAACUCAUCUUUAUCCAACUCUCCCAGUUAUGGAAUGAUGUUUUCAUCUGACACUUCAGAGGUUGCAGAAAACAACAGUAAGACAAGCAGCUCAGUGGCCUCCGCAGCUGCAUCAACCUCGCCCCAGGAGACGGAUACCACAACCACUGUAGAAUGCAAAGAAGAAAGAGUAGAGAAUGGUAACACCAGUGAAACAGACAACACCCUUUCUGUCCCCUCAGUCAAUACUGAAGAAGUUGUUUCAAAGCCUACUCUCUUGCACAAGGUGAAGAGAGAAAAUGCAGCCACCAGAAGCACUUCUCUUCCCAACCUGUAUGGACUUGUUGUGGAUGCAGUUAUGGACCACUUCAGCACAGAACCCUUCAAAGACAGUCUGGCCCAAUCAGUGAAGAAUGAGGUGAGACGUACCCUUUCUAUGCCUGACUGUGGAUUGUUGAACACUCAAAUUGAUAAUUACUUUGAGAGGAAAAUGCUAGAGGAUAUGCUGAAGGAAGUAUCCCGACAGUGUGGAGGAACAAGCUCUAGCACCAUGGUGGAAGAGGCUACAGAUGAAGAAGAGAUCUACAGACUAGAAUCUGCUGCAGCACAACUGAUACAGAAAGUUUUCCAGGAGGUCAAGACACAUUUUGUGUUCAAGAUCAAGAAGGGUUCUCCCAAGAGAUGUCUAUCCCCAAAAGUAAGCCGAACAGCCAUCAAUGCUGUGAGCAGUCUUCUGGGUGACAUGGAGACAACUGUGAUGGCCAGUGUUCCAUGUUCUUGUACUACCUCCAGAGCAGAUAUGGAAGGAAUGCUCUCUGAGGCAACAGGCGAGCACCCAGCGAAAUCAAUGGCCUCUGCAAAAGUUGAGUUGAUCGCUGAUGAUUUAGUGGAAGAUGCCAUCGAUAUGUGCAGUGAAAUGAUUUUAGACGACCAGCCACUAGCUCUACUACAUAGCGAUCCUGAAGAAGGUCCAUCACAUGUUGUUGUUCCUGGACCAAUUCAGAGCAGCCUGUCUGGAUGUGAUGAAUGCCACACAAAAUCACAGGUCCCUGCAGUAAAGAUUGAAGACCAUGAGGUAAAGCCAAUUUUGAUUCAAGACACAGCGCUCAUAUCUCCAGGCGAGAAGAAUACGGAUGAAAAAAGAGUCAUUAGAGUAAGUUAUGUCUUUGACUCAUCCCCUAGAAGGAAAGCUGACAAGGCCACCAGAAGCACCUCUUUCCCUAACCUCUAUGUCACCCUUGUGGAUGGAGUUCUGGACCAAAUUAGCACAGAACCUUUCAAAGAAAUACUGGCCCAAUCUGUGAGGAAUGAGGUAAGACGUUCUGUCUCUUUGCCUCAAUUUGGAUCGGUGAACCUCAAAAGUGAGGACUGCUCAGAGAAAGAAAUGAUUGAGGAUAUGUUGAAAAGUGUAUCCAGAAAACUCAGUAAAGACCAGGCCUGUCAGCUGACCGGGAAAGCCAGUGAGACCAUGAAUGCCAAUGUAGAUGCCAUUUCACUUACCCCCAAACUACAGUCUACUGCCAAAGACCUAAUCAUCAAAGUUCUGGAGCAGGUCAAGACUAUAAUAAUCAAUAUGAUUAGACAAGAUUCUCCCAACAGGGCGAUUUCCUCCAAGGCAAGCCAGACUGCCAUCAAUGCUGUCAGUGACAUUUUGGGUGCUAUGGGAACCUCUCUCAUGGCAAGCAACACACCAUUUGUUCCUGAUGUGGCUGGACUCCAGCCUGACCUAGAUGAUGUAGCAUCUUACUCAACUGAAGCUUUUGAGGCAUAUCCAGGGAUCUGGAUGUCAUCCCAGAAGAUAAAAUAUAUUGCCUCAGGCCUCAUGGACACUGUCUGUGAUGACCUACUGGAUGAGGAUGGUUUCCUCAGACGGAGCGCUGGUGCAAUAUCCUCACAGGAAGACCUUGAUCUUCAGAAGUUAAUUACUUCAAAACCAGCAUCCCCAGUCAAUUGCAUGCCUGUCAAAAGAUGCCUGUCAAUGUCCUACCUUGAUGCUUUGAAGAAUCCUGAAGACAUUGAAAAUGCUACUCACCUCAGUAGAAGCCUUGACUCUCUCUCCGUAAUUGGUGUGCCUACUUCAACCUCAAAGGAAGUUUCAUACGGCACAGAAUUGAAACUGACACAGUUGCAAAAAGAUGUCUCUGCAUCAUCCUCACUUUAUGCCAUGAGCAACUGUUGGAGCUCAUUGGAGUUUACCUCCACUGGAUCUGAUAUCCCUAUCGACGAAGAGGCCCAAAGGAUUUCCUCCACAGACGAAGAAGACAGUCUGUCCAAAUCCCUCCUGACCUCUUCCAAAUCAGUCUUCAAUGUCUCUGGCCUCGUUCCUACUCCUCCAGAGGGAAAGCCAAAGGUGAGGCUGCCAUGGCGCCCAGUGCUUCGCCGUAGAAAGGUUCCAGAGCAGCCCCCCAACAAGAUGCACAUUUACACAGUUCACAGGGAUGCUUUUCAUUUCCCAACUGAGACAAUGCAAUCGACCAGUCCAUCAUCACCCGAGGGAGACUUCUCAACUCCAGAGUCCCAGAGGCCAAGAGCGGUGGACAGCUCAGACAAGGAGUCUAUCUUUAAUAUAGACUCAUCCAAAAGACUCGUCGCAGAGAUAAUGCUGUCUGUUCGGGAGGACGUUGUUGAGGCAAAGCAGAGCGAAUUGGCCGCAAAUCUGGCUGUGCUGUCAUCUGACAAUGUGAUGCUCAACACUUUGGCUCAGAGUGGGACACCCCGCACCGAUUCCUGAACUGCCUCCAACACCUCUCCUCACAGCGAGAGUGAUAACUGAAGAGAGAUUCACAUGUUUACUUGGACAUACAUGAUAGAAGCAUUUGCUUACAUUAUUUUGAAUCGCAUUGAGCUAUUAAAGAAUGCAUUUAUUUUCUAAAAAAGACAAAAGCAUUUAUUUACACUAUGUAGUUUUUCUUAGAUGUUAGUGUUAAGUUAGGAACAUUAAAUUGAAAGUUAGGAGAGAGUAAUUAUACAUCUUUGCUCUGAAUGGUGACAUUGUUUAAACAGUCUCACAAUUUGACAAUAAAAUAUUAAUACACUUUUUUUUUUUACACUGUGACUUUUAUGGUUCUGAAGGGAGGAGAGGACAAAGCUGGAUGAAUUUAGGAGUCACAAGCGCCCCAGUAAUCCUUAUUAACUUUACAUUCCUGACAUUUUUCCUGCCUGUAAGCAGUCUCUCUUAACAGCAUUGUAUGACCUAUUGUUCUGUUGACACAGAAACGUUUCACUAAUCAGUACAACUUACUCUGCAUUCCAGUUAUUAUACCUCAGAUUGUUGAAUUUAUGCAUCAAGAGUGUUGUGGUAUUUUAUUCACUGUUUAUUCUGGCAAGAUUUGAUCAUUAUUGCUCAGAUUGUCAGAAUAUUUUAAUACUGAAUAGCCUCAUUAGAAUAGAGCUGCAACUAUUUGAGUGUAAAUCCCAGAAUCAUUAGGACUACUUUGGGACAUAUUGAGUCGAGAUUGGCCUAAAUGCAAUGGGUCAGGUGGUAUUUUAAGAUGGCUAUUCACUUAUUAGCACAGUUUUCACGUGACACUGUAAUCACCAAUAAUUUAUAUAAGCUACACUAGAUGACCAAUAAGACAUCCCUCACAAUUGUACAAAAUAUUUUGGAUGCAAUAGAAAUUAAUUUAUUAAUGACUACAUUUGUUUGUGACACGUUUAUCAUAUUACAGACACCUUAACCUUAAUGCAUACUUUUAAAUUAUAUUAUGUGAGCUAAACAUACAAAACAAUUUUUUCCCUGAAGUAUAAUUUUUUUAGAGAUUACUGAAAUCUAUGUCCCCACUACAGAAUACUUAAAUACAUGUCAUUUUGUUGUUGAAACAUUUAAUUGAAAUACUGUAGAAUUCCAUUCAUUCCUAUGGAGGAAUGCUUCUACUGGGGAGUACCAAUAUGGCCGACCGGUGUUUUCAACGCCUCUCAAUAGCCAAUACAUAGCAUAGCCAAUACAUAGCAUUACCAAUCCAGGGUGUAUAUACAUCACUGCUAAUUACCCAAUUUUAAUAAAAGCUAGUAACAUUCUCAACACUCCAGCAGUUUCACUAGACUUCUUACAGUACCCUAUAAGAAGUACAUCUACUGUACAUAACAUAGUAGAUAUUUAGUGCCGAUUUUAGCAUGUAAAUCUCUUGGUGGGGCAAACUCCCCAAUUGUUUUGUUGUUGAUGCAUGCAUGCAAAGCUAAACAACACAUAAAUUGCACUAUAACAGUGACAAAAGGCACCCACAUGUUAGGGCCUGCAUAAAGCUGUCCCAACAGCAGAGCCUUCUUUUCACCACCAUGGCGUUAAUCCUUACCACCACAAUACCUGACUAUCAGCGGGGCCUUGUCUGGCAGCGAAACAGUUCAUUCAGCCUCAUUUACUGCCUUUAAAAAAAACAUAGCAGAUAUCUAAUCAAACUUUAUUUGUCACAUUCACUGAAUACAUGGCUGACUUGCUUAAACGAAUGUGGUUUCUACUGACAAUUGAGAUGCACAAAAUAUGGCAUAAGGGACCGAUGAGCAGAUAAGAGGCAAUCCGUAAUUUUGAGAAGACAGUAAUGAGCAAUUUAAGGUGGAAAUAGUCAAUAUAACUAUUUGUUCAGCAUUUUUUAAAUGUACAGCAACAAAAUUCAAAACAUAGGCUGUUCUUACUGUAUUCUCCCUGUACACCAAGUCAGAAUCAUAGGAUAAAUAAUGGGGGCAUAUAAGCAGUCAAUGAAAGCUCUUACAAUAUUCGAUGAUGACAUUUCUCUAAAACAGGCAUUAAGCUACAGUUGAUGUUACGGUGCGUGAAUGAGGACCCAAAAGCGAAUCAACUUAAACAGAGCUUCUUUAAUUACCAAACAUAGGUAGGCUCAGAUGGACCGGCAGAUUCCGACAGGACAGGACAAGGUUACAGCAAACAUGACGACAGUCUGGUUCAGGCAUGAAUGACACAAACAAACAAGAAUCCGACAAGGACAGGAGCAGAAACAGAGAGAGAUAUUGGGACCUAAUCAGAGGGAAAAAAGGGAACAGGUGGGGAACGGGGUGAAUGGGUAGUUAGAGGAGACAAGGGACAGCUGGGGGAAAGCGGGGGAGAAAAGGUAACCUAACACGACCAGCAGAGGGAGACAGGGUGAAGGGAAAGGACAGAGACAAGACAACAUGACAGUACAUGACAGUACCCCCCCACUCACCGAGCGCCUCCUGGCGCACUCGAGGAGG
rnacentral:lncRNA from 13 species